rnacentral:lncRNA from 1 species
CAGGCAUGGGAAAAGACUCGUCUGGCAGUCUAAAAUAAAUAAUAAAAUGCCUAAAAUGUAUUAGCUGUAUAAGUUACAGGAGUUUAUAAGACUAAUAAUACCAAAUACAUUAAGUUUUUCAAUCUUACCCAAAACAAAUACUCAUAUAGUUCUAAUAACACCUCAGGAAAAUUCAAUGGCAGCCAGGCAAUACAAGAAGACUUCGAGUUUAGAUUGAACUCACCGCCCAUAAGGAAGAGCAGUCCUGCCACAUACUGCAUGAGGCCGCGGUCCCAGCAGCAUCCCAGCAUCCCGAUGAUCCAGCCGAAGAGAAUGAUGGCCACCGCCAUUCCCAUAAACCCUGCCGUCAUCCUCCGCAGAUCUGAAAUCAACACAUGUAAACCAUUCAGAGAUGAUGAGGACACAAGAAACAUCCACUACUCUCUGCUCUCAUACGUCUCCAUGCUGGAUCGAGGAGAGCCAGAGAAAGAUGGAGACUGUUCGGAUACCGCAGGGUUUGGGGUUACAGGAGAGUGUCUUCCGUCACCUGACAGA